GCUGAAGGGGGUGAAGGAGGAUUUGAGGCACGUAAAAUGAAGACAACAACACAUUGAGGCGUCACAUAGUUCCAGCAUUCUUCUCCCAGUCUCUGAAUGACGGCGAGGUUGCCACUGACCCUGUAGAUUCCAUCAACAUCAAGACCUGGAGAGCAACAUUAGACACGUUCCUUUCAGUCACGGAGAGAAACUAAUUCCUCAAUGUCUACUGCGUGGGUCGCCUCUGCAGGAACUUCCGCAGCUUGGUUCUGACCCGGCCCUGAUCCGAGUCCCCGCUGACGCUGACGCUGGCGCUGG